AGUGAACGCUGGCGGUAGGCCUAACACAUGCAAGUCGAACGGUAACAGGUCUUCGGAUGCUGACGAGUGGCGAACGGGUGAGUAAUACAUCGGAACGUGCCUAGUAGUGGGGGAUAACUACUCGAAAGAGUGGCUAAUACCGCAUGAGAUCUACGGAUGAAAGCAGGGGAUCGCAAGACCUUGUGCUACUAGAGCGGCCGAUGGCAGAUUAGGUAGUUGGUGGGAUAAAAGCUUAACAAGCCGACGAUCUGUAGCUGGUCUGAGAGGACGAUAAGCCAUACUGGGACUGAGGACCGGCCCAGACUACUACGGGAGGCAGCGGUAGGGAAUGUGGGACAAAGGGCGAAAACGUGAUACAGCAAGGCCGCGUGCAGGAUGAAGGCCUUAGGGUUGUAAACUGCUUUUUUACGGAACGAAAAGCCCCGGGUUAAUACCCUGGAGUCAUGACGGUACCGUAAGAAUAAGCACCGGCUAACUACGUGCCAGCCGCCGCAGUAA
rnacentral:rRNA from 1 species